GUCUACAGACUGACCAUAAUUACAAAAUAAAUUGUAAGAUGCAUAAAUUCACAAGUAUGAUUGACUUUCAUAUUAUAUUUCUUGCAUAUUAGUAAUGGCUAAAAUUUGUUAGGUGGCAUUAUUAAUCCCACCUUAUACAUGAAGAAACUGAUCCAGAGAGAUAUUAAGUAACUUCCCUAAGGACAUGCCCUUCUAUGUGAAGUAGCUGUCAUUAUAAACCAGGCAAUCUGGUUCAGAAAUCUGCAUUCUUAGUUACCACUCUGUUACCUCUUAUAUACUCCAAGUAUUUUUCUUUGUCCAGUUGGCAUAUUUCAAAGCUUGUCUUAAAAUCUAAAAUAUCUAAUUAUCCUCUGGGCCAGAAUUUCCCAUCGUUCACUUCACAGAAUAUUAGUUCUACAGAAUGUAAACAGGAGUCAAAUGACAAAAAAGGUCUUGGGCAAAUACAAUUGCAAAAACACCAGAUUAAAUAUAGUUUUGUUUGUUUGUUUGUUUAUUUUACCACAGAACUUGUCAGGGCUUUUACUCUGCCAUUCAUAUUUUCUGUAAGUUUUAUUCUGACCCUCUGUGAGCUAUUUUGAAAUCAAAAUACUUUUACAGUAAGCUGGUGCUAACAUGAGGCAUUUCAAAAAUAGUAUUCAAUUAAUGUAUCUUUGAAAUAUUCAUAAUGGUAUGUUUCCAUGACCACCUUUAUGAUGUUUUGCUUAUAUAGAACCUUGGCUGUUAUAAGUUCAAGAAUAUUAUAUAAUUUCUGUAGAGCUCUAUAACUCCCAUCAGACAGAAGAGAAAUUCAUGCUAAUUUAUUUGGACUGGAAAAAAAGAGCAGGUAUAGAUUCAUUGUAUUUCCACUCUUGAUAAUAAUUUAAUGAAUGCUUUUUGCAAUGAAGCAGAAUGUUUCCUAGUGGUGUAUUUUAAGUAUUUUUGUCUAAUUCUGGCCAACUUUUACAUUCAUUUCCUUUUAGUUUUUAGUAGCCAAAAAUAAUUUAGAAAUCAUAAUGUUUACGGCCAUUCUAUAACAGUUCUGGUUACCUGAAAACAGCAUCCUUGAAUCAACAUGGCCUGCUAACUAAAAUGAAACGCAACUCAUACUGUAUGGCUUGCAGGGUAUUAACCAAGGCAAACCAAUCCUUUUAGAUAUUUUUUUUAAAAAAGAUGACUGCAGUAGUUGAAAAUCAUGAAAAUAGGUCUGAUCUGGAAUGCAAAUGAGUAUUUUUCUAUUGUAUAAAUAUUAUAUUACGUAUUACAUAUUACACACAGAAAGACAGAAAAGUAUAGCCAAGACUUUUCAGGUUGCUCCCUAAAAACUUAGUUUAUAUUUUUCUUUGAAAAGGUAAAUUUUAAAAAUUCUCCAAGAAAACCAAAGAUAAAGUGUCCACUUACCAUAUCAUGGUCUGAAACGGGUCCGAAACUGGUGACGAAGAUAUCAGUCUUCACUUCGGUUACACGCUCUGGUGAAGCAGGAAAUUGAGCGAAAACAGAAAGUGCAGUAUAUCUGGAUCCUGGUGAUGCUGAAGAUCAUGGCACAAGAUGACAACCUAGAGAUGUGGACCCUAAUGUGCAGAAACUUAAGUCAAUUGCCCAAGGUCGCAUUGCUGGUAUCUCCAUUUGUCAUGCUUGGAAAGUGAGAAAGCAUUCAACUGGCAAAGGAAGUGAACAAAAACAAGAUCAAGAAUAAACAUGACUUAAUUAAAAUCAUAAUGAGAUAUCAUCUUACCCCAGUCAGAAUGUCUCUUAUUAAAAAAAAAAAAUUAAAACAAAGACAGAUGCCGGCGAGGAUGCAGAGAAUGGAGAAAUCUUACACACCGUUGGUUGGAAUGUAAAAUAGUACAACAUUUAUGGAAAACAGCAUGAAGAUUUCUCAAAGAACUAAAAGAACUACCCUUUGAUCCAACAAUCUACUAAUGGGUAUGUACUGAAAGGAAAAUAAAUCAUUGUAUCAAAAAUAUACCUUUACGCAUAUGUGUAUUUCAGACUAUUCACAACAGAAAAGUAAUGCAAUUAACUUAAGUUUCCAUAAACAAGAGAUUGGAUAAAGAAAAUGUGGGCCGGGCCCGGUGGCUCACGUCUGUAAUCCCAGCACUUUGGGAGGCCGAGGUGGGCGGAUUACGAGGUCAGGAGAUGGAUACCAUCCUGGCUAACACGGUGAAACCCCGUCUCUACUAAAAAUCCAAAAAAUUAGCCGGGCGAUGUGGCGGGCGCCUGUAGUCCCAGCUACGUGGGAGACUGAGGCAGGAGAAUGGCGUGAACCCCGGGGGGCGGAGCCUGCUGUGAGCCGAGAUCACGCCACUGCACUCCAGCCUGGGUGAAAGAGCGAGACUCCUUCUCAAAAAAAAAAAAAAAAAAAAAAAAAAAAAAAAAAAAAAAGUGAUAUAUAUAUAUAUAUAUAUAUAUAUAUAUACACACACACAAUGAAAUACUGUUCAGCCAUAAAACAAUAAAAUCAUAUCUUCUACAGCAACAUGAAUGGAACUGGAAGUCAUUAUCUUAAGUGAAACAAAUCAUAAAGAGAAAUACUGCAAGUUCUUACAUAGGUGGGAACUAAAUAUUGUGUACACAUGAACAUAGAAAGUGGAAUGUCAGGCAAUGGAUACUUGAAAG